rnacentral:rRNA from 1 species
GAAUUUAAGCAUAUAAGUAAGUGGUGGAAGAAAAAAUAAACAUGAUUCUUUUAGUAAUGGCGAAUGAACAAAGACAUGGUCAUUUUGAAAAUUGUGGUCUUAGAUCAUGAAUUGUAUUUUCAAAAUGCAUUGCUAACACAACUGCACAUGUUUGUUUAUUGGAAAGAACAUCACAAAGGGUGACAAUCCCAUGUGUCAUGUGUAUGUUUUGUGUACAGCGUGCAUUAUAUGAAUCACAUUCAUUGACAAUUGAAUGCAAAUAGAAUGGUAAAUUUCAUUUAAUCAUAAAUAUGUUGUUGACAACUUAUAGCAAACAAAUACCAUGAGGGAAAUGUGAAAAGGAUUUUGAAAAGAAAAUUAAAAGAGCUUGCAAUUGCUGAACUGAUAAGCAAACAAAACAUACGUGUGUAUGCAAGAUUGUUGUAAUGCUUAGCAUCCUUUGCAAGGCUAUUGCAAUGAUUUUUUGUAUAGUGAUGCUACCUUUUUUAAGAAUUUGGAAUGUCUUUUUUUGAGUGUGAAUGGAAUUUUGUUUGUUAGCAAAGGAAUGCACUUUUAGAUUCAUUGUUUGAUUUGAUUUAAAAAUGUUUGUGAUACAUGUCUUUGUUUUAGUUUCAUGCUUCAACCAAGGACAUUGUG